GCGGCCGCGGCUGGGAGGAUGGUGACACCUGCAGUGAGUGCAGCUGCAGAGAGUCAGGUGCCAGCGGCUCCUCUUUUGAGGAGCUGGACCUGGAGGGUGAGGGGCCCUUGGAGGAACCACGGCUGGACCCUGAGACUGAGCCCCUGGGGGCUACCAAGUGGCCCUGAGAGCCCAGUACCCUGAGAAGGGCAAGGAGUAACCCAUGACCAGCCCCCUCCUGCGGGGCAGGGCUGCGGAACCGAGCAGACUCUCCAGCCAUCUUCCUCCUUCUUCUGGGGGCGAGGGGUUCCCAGGGGACGUAACUCCCCCUGCUCUAGGCCUCUUGUGAAGCCUUCUCCUCACUGUCCUUUAGGCUCCCAGGGCCAAAGCAGCCAAAGACUGUAUCCUGCACCAGCCCUGUGGGCCGACACUCCUGUUGUAUCUCUUUUUCAGACUGUCACUGGAGCUUCCAGGACCCAGAAUAAAGCCAAUGACUUACUUGUUUCA